rnacentral:rRNA from 1 species
UAGCUUGUUGGUGGGGUAAUGGCCUACCAAGGCUACGAUGGUUAGCUGGUCUGAGAGGAUGACCAGCCACACUGGAACUGAGACACGGUCCAGACUCCUACGGGAGGCAGCAGUGAGGAAUAUUGCGCAAUGGGGGAAACCCUGACGCAGUGACGCCGCGUGAGUGAUGAAGGCUUUCGAGUCGUAAAGCUCUGUUAGGUGGAAAGAAACAUUCCAACGCUAAUAUCGUUGGGACUUGACGGUACCACCAGAGGAAGCACCGGCUAACUCCGUGCCAGCAGCCGCGGUAAUACGGAGGGUGCAAGCGUUGUUCGGAAUUACUGGGCGUAAAGGGCGUGUAGGCGGUUAGGCAAGUCAGGUGUGAAAUCCCUUGGCUCAACCAAGGAAGUGCGCUUGAAACUGCUUAACUAGAGUACAGGAGGGGAAAGUGGAAUUCCCAGUGUAGAGGUGAAAUUCAUAGAUAUUGGGAGGAACACCGGUAGCGAAGGCGGCUUUCUGGCCUGAUACUGACGCUGAGACGCGAAAGCGUGGGGAGCAAACAGGAUUAGAUACCCUGGUAGUCCACGCCGUAAACGAUGUGCACUAGGUGUAGGAAGUGUUGACCCUUUCUGUGGCCGAAGCUAACGCAUUAAGUGCACCGCCUGGGGAUGUACGGUCGCAAGGCUAAAACUCAAAGGAAUUGACGGGGGCCCGCACAAGCGGAGGAGCAUGUGGUUUAAUUCGAUGAUACGCGAAAAACCUUACCUGGGCUUGAAUGCUGGACGAUUAAUCGGGAAACCGAGGAUUCUUCGGGUGUACAGCAAGGUGCUGCAUGGCUGUCGUCAGCUCGUGCCGUGAGAUGUUGGGUUAAGUCCCGCAACGAGCGCAACCCUCGCUUUUAGUUGCCAGCAUUUAGUUCCGGGGACUCUAAUGGAACUGCCCCGGUAAACCGGGAGGAAGGUGGGGAUGACGUCAAGUCAGCACGGCCCUUAUGUCCAGGGCUACACACGUGUUACAAUGGUCGGUACAAAGGGCAGCUACCUGGUGACAGGAUGCUAAUCUCGAAAACCGAUCUCAGUUCGGAUCGAAGUCUGCAACUCGACUUCGUGAAGCUGGAUUCGCUAGUAAUCGCAUAUCAGCCAUGAUGCGGUGAAUACGUUCCCGGGCCUUGUACACACCGCCCGUCAAGCCAUGGAAGCUGGGGGUACCUGAAGUC